rnacentral:rRNA from 1 species
UACAGAGAGUGCAAACGUUGUUCGGAAUUACUGGGCUUGAAGCGCACGUAGGCGGCGUUGUAAGUGCCGGGUGAAAUCCCACGGCUCACCCGUGGAACUGCCCGGCAUACUGCGAUGCUAGAGUGUGGUAGGGGAGAGCGGAACUCCUGGUGGAGCGGUGAAAUGCGUAGAUAUCAGGAGGAACACCGGUGGCGAAGGCGGCUCUCUGGUCCACAACUGACGCUGAGGUGCGAAAGCUAGGGGAGCAAACGGG